rnacentral:rRNA from 1 species
GUGGGGAAUCUUAGAGAAUGGGGGAAACCCUGAUCUAGCCAUGCCGCGUGAGCGAUGAAGGCCUUAGGGUUGUAAAGCUCUUUCAGCUGGGAAGAUAAUGACGGUACCAGCAGAAGAAGCCCCGGCUAACUCCGUGCCAGCAGCCGCGGUAAUACGGAGGGGGCUAGCGUUGUUCGGAAUUACUGGGCGUAAAGCGCGCGUAGGCGGACCAGAAAGUUGGAGGUGAAAUCCCAGGGCUCAACCUUGGAACUGCCUUCAAAACUCCUGGUCUGGAGUUCGAGAGAGGUGAGUGGAAUUCCGAGUGUAGAGGUGAAAUUCGUAGAUAUUCGGAGGAACACCAGUGGCGAAGGCGGCUCACUGGCUCGAUACUGACGCUGAGGUGCGAAAGCGUGGGGAGCAAACAGGAUUAGAAACCCGGGUAGUCC